GGUAAUUUUUCUCUUCUCUUCUUGAGAUUCAUACAGAAGCUAAUUUAAGCUUCUAAAAAAAUGACAUUUUUAUUUUUUCUUCCAAAUAGUCUGCUCUGUACGUGGCACUGGAUGCACCAUUUGACUAUACUAUAUCAGACAUGCCCUACUUGCGUAAAUGAUGGUGCUUGCUGUUGAUGGACUUUGAUCUCAGGAGGUAUUUAUAUUUUGACUUCUGUUCUAUGUUGUGUCAAAGUUUACACACCUUAACAAUAUCAAAAUUUUCUGUUAAGCUCUGGCAAGCUAUUUGCACACUGGAGAGAGGAAGCCAAAGCUGUGCUUGAAGAACAACACGUGCCCAUUUUCAGACUGAAAAAGCGCAAGUUCCAGGAAGUCAGUCAGGAGCCAGCAGUUGUUGAAGAUCUGCUUCCUGCUGUGCAGUGGGUUGUCCAAAAUAAGGCACUUUUCUGUGGACACGUAACAAUGCCAAAAUAUCUGUCCUUAAAUCAAGGGAACCAGCAGAGGGUCUUAAGAGACAUGUCAGAGGAAGAAGACACUGGAGCAAGGGACUUGUUCCUCUUUGUUUUUCAGUUUGCAAAGGACAUGGAGCUCUUUUUGAAAGCAUGUGCUGAUGGAGCAGGGACUAAGGGUCAGUGCUAUGUUUGACAUGUAAUGGACAAAUGAAGGCACUGGCUGUUUGUUUGUUUGUUUAAUAUGUCGUUGCUGUUUUUUGUUUUGUUUUUGCAUAGUACAAAAUUCCAAUUAAACUUAUUUCAAAAUGUU